rnacentral:rRNA from 1 species
UACGGAGGGUGCAAGCGUUAUCCGGAUUCACUGGGUUUAAAGGGUGCGUAGGUGGGUUGGUAAGUCAGUGGUGAAAUCUCCGUGCUUAACAUGGAAACUGCCAUUGAUACUACUGAUCUUGAAUUUUCAGGAGGUAAGCGGAAUAUGUCAUGUAGCGGUGAAGUGCUUAGAUAUGACAUAGAACACCAAUUGCGAAGGCAGCUUACUACAGGAAUAUUGACACUGAUGCACGAAAGCGUGGGGAUCAAACAGG